UACAGAGGUCUCAAGCGUUGUUCGGAAUCACUGGGCGUAAAGGGUGCGUAGGCGGUGUGGAAAGUCAGAUGUGAAAUCCGGAGGCUCAACCUCCGAAUUGCAUCCGAUACUCCCGCGCUAGAGGGUUGUAGGGGAGCUUGGAAUUCUCGGUGUAGCAGUGAAAUGCGUAGAUAUCGAGAGGAACACCUGCGGCGAAGGCGGGUUGCUGGGCUGAUACUGACGCUGAGGCGCGAAAGCCAGGGGAGCGAACGGG
rnacentral:rRNA from 1 species